rnacentral:rRNA from 1 species
GGGGAAUAUUGGACAAUGGGGGCAACCCUGAUCCAGCAAUGCCGCGUGUGUGAAGAAGGUUUUCGGAUUGUAAAGCACUUUCGACGGGGACGAUGAUGACGUACCCGUAGAAGAAGCCCCGGCUAACUUCGUGCCAGCAGCCGCGGUAAUACGAAGGGGGCUAGCGUUGCUCGGAAUGACUGGGCGUAAAGGGCGUGUAGGCGGUUUGUACAGUCAGAUGUGAAAUCCCCGGGCUUAACCUGGGAGCUGCAUUUGAUACGUGCAGACUAGAGUGUGAGAGAGGGUUGUGGAAUUCCCAGUGUAGNGGUGA